rnacentral:rRNA from 1 species
UACGUAGGGUGCGGGCGUUGUCCGGAAUUAUUGGGCGUAAAGGGCUCGUAGGCGGUCUGUUGCGUCGGGAGUGAAAACUCAGGGCUUAACCCUGAGCCUGCUUCCGAUACGGGCAGACUAGAGGUAUGCAGGGGAGAACGGAAUUCCUGGUGUAGCGGUGGAAUGCGCAGAUAUCAGGAGGAACACCGGUGGCGAAGGCGGUUCUCUGGGCAUUACCUGACGCUGAGGAGCGAAAGUGUGGGGAGCGAACAGG